CCUGGGAAACGGGUGGUAAUGCCGGAUGCUCCAGUUGAUCGCAUGGUCUUCUGGGAAAGCUUUCGCGGUAUGGGAUGGGGUCGCGUCCUAUCAGCUUGACGGCGGGGUAACGGCCCACCGUGGCUUCGACGGGUAGCCGGCCUGAGAGGGCGACCGGCCACAUUGGGACUGAGAUACGGCCCAGACUCCUACGGGAGGCAGCAGUGGGGAAUAUUGCACAAUGGGCGCAAGCCUGAUGCAGCGACGCCGCGUGAGGGAUGGAGGCCUUCGGGUUGUAAACCUCUUUUAUCGGGGAGCAAGCGAGAGUGAGUUUACCCGUUGAAUAAGCACCGGCUAACUACGUGCCAGCAGCCGCGGUAAUACGUAGGGUGCAAGCGUUAUCCGGAAUUAUUGGGCGUAAAGGGCUCGUAGGCGGUUCGUCGCGUCCGGUGUGAAAGUCCAUCGCUUAACGGUGGAUCCGCGCCGGGUACGGGCGGGCUUGAGUGCGGUAGGGGAGACUGGAAUUCCCGGUGUAACGGUGGAAUGUGUAGAUAU
rnacentral:rRNA from 1 species